rnacentral:lncRNA from 1 species
GCAUCCUUAAAGCUGAUUUUUACUUUUUUUUUUUUUUUUUUUGUCUUAAAAACAUUAGCUAUUGAGGGGAGCUCUGGGUGCUUCCCUGAGACCUGCUUCCUUCCCUCCCCCACUUUGGUUCUCUACAGCUCUGUCUCAGAGGCCAUGGGGAUGGGUGGUGUCCCCUGUGCCUGCAUUGUUUCCAGAGGAGAGUUGGAUGUCCCAGAACAUCCUGUGUGUAUUUAGAUUCUGCUCAGACUGAGAACUUGGCAGCAUACUCAGUUGAGCUGUGGAAUUCUGAGCUGAGGUGGGUCUCUAUAUCUAUAAAGUUUUAGGUCUUAAAAACGUCACAAAGAGCCAGGAUGGAAGUUUCCUUCCAGUAGGUAGCCUGCCUGGGGGUCACAGGCACUUUUCUGAUGUAUGUCCCAGAAGGCAAAGCCAAACCUUUGAACUUGAAUAAUAGACUUAAUAUUUUACAUUUUAAGUGACAUUGUUUUCUCACUGGAAAUCGGCCCAGUAAUGACCCUCAGAUCUAUUUUUGGAAACCUGAGUUCUGUGGCAGAUGAUGACGGUGAAGUAGUCAGCAUAGUGAACAGCUUUCCUGUAAUGAUAGAGCCUUUAUUGCUGAAGCGUUUUGUCUCUUUAGAAUGCAUAAUUAAUUUUGAACAAGAAAUAAGUUAUAUAGCUUGUGGCACAUUUAUCUGGUACAGCAUUUUAUAAACAUGAUUAUUCACUGGUGUUCCUCAAUUCUGCCUUUAUUACAUGAUGAUCUGAUAAUUCAGAACAAGACAUAGCUGCAUUAAGGACUUGGCAGAGAGUUUUCAUACUGAAUUUUAGAUUGUUUGUAGUAAGGCAGCCUGAACGAUACUAGUUUCAUUUUUAUGUACCUUUUCCCCAUAAAGUUGAAUUUUGAGUAGAAAUUUAAAAAUUGGAUUUUUUUUCUUUUACUGCAUUGAAUGCCCUUCUCCCAUGGUACCCUCCCUGCAACAUCACAGUAGUGGGAGUGAUGUGCUUCGCAGCACAUCACUAUAAUUCUCUAUACUUCUCUGUGUGACGCUAUAUAGACUGCAGAGCAUAUCUGUCACCUGUUAUCAAGAACAGCGGAAAGAAAAUUGAAUUCCCGGGUUUUCCUGUCAUAGGCAGCAUUUUUGCAGCCUUCCUUUAUAUGUUUGUUGUCUGUGUACACAGACUAGGUUAUGUUUUUUUCUGUACGUAAGAUAGUGGUGUGUGUGUGUGCGUGUGUGCGUGUGUGUGCACCUGCACACACAUGGAGGCCAGAGAAGGAUCCUGGGUAUCUCUUGCUCUAUCUUUCCGUGCCUUAUUCCCUUAUGACAGGGUCUCUCCCUAAGCCCAGAACUGGGGUGGCAGAUGGAAAGCCCAGCAGUGCUGCCUGCUCUUCAUGCUGUAUGGUCAUGCUUAGUUUUCUAUGCAGGUACUGGGAUCAGAACUUAUGUCCUCAGGACUGCAGGCUAACCAUUCUACUGACUGAGCCAUCUUUCUAGCCUAUCCCUGGCUCCUUUUUAAGGCCUUGUUUUGGUUUCUGGUCUUUGCGUAUGUUCAUCUUCAAAGGUUAGAUGUGUGUAGGUUUCUUUUGCUCAUUGUGCUUGGGGUGUGUUAAGAGUCACAACCUUGGGGACUGGGCGCUUUCCCAUCUGGAAAUUCAGUUCUGUUUUGCUUCAGUGUGUCUCCCUUUCCCGUCUGGGUCUCCUGCUAAAUGUACUGACUUUCUCGUUUUCCUCUAUCCCUACUUAUCCGCUUUCAUAGUCAAUCUCUUUGUCUGUUGUUUUUAUGUCCCAGGUGACUCUAUCAGUUCCCUCACCGUCUGUCUUUGUGCUGUCCAUAAUUCUGUCUGUGGAUUUUAUACUUUACUUGCACACCCCUUAUUUUUAUUAGUUAUUCUUGAAAGACUUUGUUGUUUUUAAUUCAGAUCUACUUAGACUUUUUUCUUUUCAUACUUUUUUGUCAAUUCUUUAAACAUAAUAGAGAGGGAGAAUAUUAAUUAUAUAUACAAGCACACAUACUGGCUUGCCUGGUGCCAUGUUUACUGGAGAAACACACGAUAAAUGUCCUACAAAGAGGCCCACCAAUCUGGCCCAUGGAUUAUGGUCUAGACUUAUUUUUUUUUUUUUAAGACAGGGUCUCACCAGGUCCCUUGGGUUGACUGAACUCAUAGAGAUCCUCCUGCCUCUGAUUCCAUGCCUGGGACUUGGAUAACUUUUAAAGAUAUGAGGAGAAAGUGUUUGGAUCUAAGUUGUGGAAUGUUUAAACUAUGAGGUUGGGGUCAUAUCAUUGCUUUCCCGCAAGAUCAACAAGUGGGUCCAAACAUUUUGGCAGUGUGGUACAUUACCAUGGCCUCAGCCCUGCUCCAUAUCCUCCAUGUUCAAUAAAUAUAGCUUCAGUCUUGCCCCUCUGCUUUGUAAGAAUUAUGACCAGUGCUCAGAUCUAGAAAGACUCCAUGGAGAUUUCCCAGCAUUUGGCAAAUCUGCAUCAUACACAAACCAGCUUACAAACUAACUGCCUGUCAUUUCUUCCCCACAUCUUGGCUUCUCUGAAAUUGGGGUGCAGCUUCCAACUGUAAUUCCAGAUUUUUUUUCCUUAUAAGUAGGAACAUGGCACAUUGGAAAGUUGGUGGCGUUUUAGAAUUGGUAAAAUUUGACAGUUUGUCUUUGUGUUUUAGAUAAUUCUGGUCUAAUUUGUGGGUCUGAUUCUGCCCUCUGUUUGUUUUAACUCUGUAAAUCCUUCAUUUGUGGAACUGGUUCUGCUGCCUGUCUGUUUGUUUUUAAUCUGUAGAUUCUUGGUCUGCUGUCUCCUUUGGGUUUGUUUCUUAGCGCUGAGCUCAUCUGUCUGUGGGCCUGGUGUGGAUGCUUAGAUGUCUGGGCUGCGUGAUCUCUGUGCAUGUCUUUUCCCUGGGGAUAAUGUAACACCCAGGAGUAACUCAGAUGUACAUGAAGUGUUUUGUAGAAAGAACACAGUAGUAUGGAUUGCAAUAGUAAAACCUGUCCUGGACAGUGUGCUUAUAAAUUCUCAAAAGGUUUAUUUCUCUCCUAGCCAACAUCAAUGCUUAGAACAGUGACACUUCCUCACAGGGCCCUGACAAUGAUUCCAAUGCCAGCUAACUGUCAGGGACAGGAGAAUCUUUCUGACUGCCACCUUGGGUGGUCCUUGUGCUGUGUUCCUGGGUUUCAGUGCCUGCAAGGCCAUGAGCUAGAAGGACCACCAUGUUUUUGCUCAGCAGUUUCUCUCGUAGUCCCCUUAUGUUUUAUUUGCUUGUUUGGAAGUCUCAGGAGGGUUCAUAUGCAACAUUGCUAGGGAAGGAAUCUCCCAUCUUUCUGCCCUUUAACUGCAGGAAGUAUGGGGGCUGAGACUCCUUCUUUUUAGAAUUACAGCUGAGUAGCUUUUUUAACCAAGGGUGUAUAUCUUAAGAGAAAAAGUACCAUUCUGAGGACUCUGUAAUCUGAAAAUGAAUCUGCACAGUGGUCUCUGAUGUUCAUUAGAGAUCUCAGACAUGUCUGCCUUUCCUGUCCUUGUGGAUUCUCCUAGGCUCUUUUCUGUGUGCUUGUCACGUACUUGUGGAUGUAAUGGUGUGCUAGAUGAGGCUUCUCAUCACUGUGGCAAACACAGGAGGAAACAGUUUCAAGCAGGGAAGUCUGUUUGGCUCAUGGUUUCAGAGGCCUCAGGUGUGUCAGCUGGCAUGGUAGAGGAGACCAUGUGGUAUUAGGAGGCAGAGGAAUAACAACCCCAGCAGAAGAUACUUGUGUGCCUCCAGGUACCUGUCUUCCACACUCAGUCACAGACCUCAAGUUCAUCAUUGGAUCAAGCUUGGCCAUAUCAGAUCUGUCAUCAUCUAGACUUGUCUGGAAACAGCAAGUCAGAGAAAGGCUGGUUCAGGUUCAAGGCCAGCCUAAGCUAUAUAGUGAGAUCCUGUCUCAAAAUAAAAUAAAAUAAGUAAAAUAAAAUCUGGAAAUAAAUUAGUACAAUUUUUAGAAUUGCCAUGUUUGGGGGCAAUAAUUAAUAAAUCAUUGCCAUAUUAAUUAUGGACCUUUUUGAAUAAACAACUUUAAAAACAGUACUAUUGUUUGUUGAAAUGUAUUGAGGUCAUAUUGUACAGAUUCAGGAGCUGAAAUAAAUAGUUCAAAGCCAAGCUUUAGGUAUAGUUGCUCCUAAAAUGGAGAUUAAAAGUAAUAUGAACCUGACUUAACUGUUAAGAGGUUGUGUGUGUGAUACACUGAGAAUAGCUACAUUGUAACAAGUACAGUUUUUUUUUUAAUUCUAGCUAUGAUUAUUGAAGGUGAACAGCCACUGAUGUGUUUUCUUAUAAGACAAAUACAUAAUAAAAAUCAGUUCAUGUGUCAGUGGUGAACACUAUUUAGUGUUGGGAUGAAUCUGGUUUCAAUUAUGGCUAUCCAGAUUUUUCAUUUAAAUGCUUACAACAAGAAAUAUUUUUAUAUAAGUAAAUAGAUGAGAGAAUUAAAAAAAAAAACCUUUGAAUUCCUUUUGGGCUAUGUGCCAAGAAAGUCACUUACUGAUCUUCUUCUUUGAGAUCAUUUAAUGAUCUGUCAGAGAGCAGUACCAUUUAAGCUUGGUUUGCUUUUAUUCAAAGAAUUCAGCUGGAAACUACUGCACUUGAGUGAUUCCUCUCUCUGUCUCUUGUCUCCUUGUCUCAGUUUCUUUCUUAUUUUAUAUAUAUGUGUACACGUGUGCACAUACAUGCUUACACACACACACACACACACACACACACACUACACACUACGGUAUACCUGUGAGAUUAGAGGACAUGUUUUGAGAAUGGUUUUCUUUUCUACCUUGUGGGUCCUGAAGAUGAAACACUCUUUCCCCUUAUAUCCUGAGGGAGGCAAUAAAAACAAAAUUAUUAAGUCCUGUGAUCAUUAUUAUAAAUUGUCAACUUAACAGAAAUUAGAAUCGCCUUGGAAAUGGGCCUGUGGGCAUGACUGCUGGAGAUUAUUUCUGAUAGGUUUAUUGAGGCAGGACAACCCAACCACUGUCGGUGACACCAUUGCCUAGAAGGGGAUCCUGGUUUAUAUAAAAUGGAGAAAGUGAACUGAGCACUAGGCAUGUGUCUGUUUCUGACUAUGGAUAUCAUGUGACUGGUGGCUUCAAGCUCCUAUGCUGUGCCUUCCCCACCAUGAUAAACUGUCACCUGGAGCUUUGAGCUAAACCCCAAACAAAACCCUUUUCUUUUAAGCUGCUUUUGUUACACUAUUUUAUCACAGCAGCAGUAAAAGAAACUAAGUCAGUACUCAGGACUUGGGUCCUCUGCUUUAGGUAUAAGCUGAACUAGUCACAUCAUUAAACAACACAUUGCUUUUGUUAGAAACACUAUCAGAAGAGUGUUUCCAUUUUGUGUCAGUAGGACACAAUACUACAGACAAGGUAAUUUAUAAAGCACAUCAGCGUAUUCUCUCAGAGAUCUGGAGGCUGGGAAAUUC